CUAUUGAUUUUAUGUAAAAAGUUGUCUUGGUCGCUGAGUUUACUUAGUAAAAGGCUGUUGUUCUUAGCUGUAUUUCAGGAUCACUAUAAAGAAAUCUUUUCUGUGAGUGCAUGGGAAUGACUUCAUUUCACGUUUUGUGUUGCUCAAGCAGAUGUUCUAGAAACUAGCAAAAGAACCUGCUAUUUAAGAGGGAUGUUUCAAGGCUCCUGCUGUCUCCUAGCAGAAUGCCCAUGUUUGGGGUUAUUUUAUGCCUGUGUCAGCUGAUAAAAGUUUCCCCAAAGUAAGAUAUAAAAAACUCAGGUUAAGCACAAGAUCAGGAGGAGCCUACGUCAGAAAAUUCCUGUGCUCAUUUCUUCCCUUGGGCCUGACCCUGUUGCCCCUGCCAGGCAGGAGCCCUCCCUGCUCAUAACAGGUUGUUCUUUCAGCCAGCAUGACAGAUGCCUGGGCACAGAGGCUCUGGCAAAAGGAAAGAUUAGAGAUAACAUUACUGGUAGCAUAAUCCCAGCAUGUCUAAGAAAAAUGCUCUUGGAAAGAAAUUUCUUGCUCUCAGGUGAAAUUCAGCAGUGAGUUUGUAGCUGAAGUGUUGUAGUUUCUGAAAAUGUCCAUACAAAUGCAUGCAUGUGUACAGAUGCACACCCAAAGCACUGAUGCAAAGGAGCUCUGUUGCAACCAGGCAGCUUUGUGUACUUUUUUGCCAUUCACAUUUUUCAGUUCUGAAAAGAAAGUGUAAAUGAAAAUGUGAAAACAGGAAUGGUGUUUGCUCCCUGGGUUUUCUGUGUUAGAGCCAAGAGAAAUACAAAAAGCCAACAGAAGCUUGGAAACUAACCCUGAGACUUCCAUUUAGCCAUGCAAAUCCUUCUCUGAGCACCUUCUGAAAAUCAAGGCAGUGAAAUCCCAGAGUCGUCAAUAACACUCUGUGCUAUAGAAGUUCUGGAAUUCAACAUUUUCAUUAAGGAGCCUUCGGAUUUUGUUUUCAAGUGAUUGAUGGGACUUAGUGGCACCUCUGCCACUGGCUUCACAGAGGACUCAUGUCGUCAAAUCACAGUGUCACUUUCAAAAAUCUUACCUCAAGUUCUCAGUCCUUAGCACUCACUCCUGGAUGUCCAGAAUCCAAAUCUGUCUAGCUGUUUCCUUCUGAAGGCAGAGCACAUCCUCAUGAAGCAAAGUAGGCACCUCCAGGGACUUGUUUCCAUAACAACCUCCCAGACUGUUUCUCUUUACCCUGUGACUGUGGCUACAAGCAAAAGCACUCAUUGCGUAUUUUCAGUUUUUAGAUAUUAGCACUUUGUCUUUACAGCUGUUUCUUUGCUUACUGAAAAUGAUCCCACCACCUUAUAUCAUGUACAACUGUCCUGUCCAACUUCAGACAGGCAGUUUUCAGCAUGUGAAAGCAAAGAGUGCAAACCAGGAGAUGAGAGGGGAUUAUAUUUGUAUAUUCUUGCACACAGAGAGGUGGGGAGCGUGUGAAGGACAGUCUGAGCACUUGCAGUCAAGGAGCUGAGGGGCACCUGGCCUGUGAAUGUAGAGUCAACUGGGUGCCUGGUGGCAAGGAAUGCAAGCUAAAGCAUCAGUUUAAAAAACCCAGAUACUUCCUUUUCAACAAUCUUGUUAGGAAGUAGUUUUGCUGUGGAAGAGGCUGUUGCUUGUUCCUGAACCCUAGGCUGUUCUGCAACAAUCAGUUCCCCCGAUGAUUUUCCCAUGGGGUGUUUUACACCAAAGCAAGACGGGGCAGAAGGCAUCUCAUUUUAGGUGGGAAAGGAAGGAAAGGGAAGAAUUUUACUGAGAACACUGUUUUUUUUUUGUCUGUAACUCAUUGACCACAUCAAAGACAGUAAGUGUGAAAGGCAUUAAGAGCUGUUAUGUGAUAUUUCAAAGCCUGUAUUAUUGGUGUAUCUCUGCACUUACCUCCAAGAUGAAAUUCCUGUUUUGCUCUUGCUUGGAAAAAGUCGUAGUUCAGGACUGCUGGUUUGGCCCUGUUCCUUCUGAUCCAGCUUUCAUGAGUAAAAAGUCACUGCUACAGCAGCUAUGGGAGUGAAGGUGAUCGGACUUGGUGUUCUGUCCUAGCCCCCCUCGUUCAGUGUACAGAGGUCCUAUGGAGAUGAAGAAGAAUGAGUACAAAGGAAAUUCAGGGCAGCAAAAGACAGGGUAAGGACUGAAGUGUCUUCCAUAGUGUGAUUGAAAGAACAGCACCCAUCCUAAAAGCAAAGGAACAAACAGCUCCAGCAUCUGCUGCUUUCGCAGAAGUAGGUCCUGUCUAUAUCAGGGAAGAGAUCUGCAGAUUACAGCAGGAGUUAACCACAGCUUUCCCAAAAGCUCUCAUGUGACUUGAGUCCAACUUGAUGGCAUCCAUUUUCAGAAAGCAGAUGCUGCCCUCUUUUACACUGGUGCAAUUCUGGAAUAACUGCACUGACGUCAGUGAAGUGACUCCAAAUUUAUCCCUGGUGAAAGCAGAACUGGACCACAGUCUUUUUGUUUGCUUAUCCACUCUGGCGUUUUCAGGAAGGUGCACCAUUACUGUACCAUAAGGGGAAGGCUGGAUUCUGGAUGCUGCAAGGCUGUCAGGAUGCUGCAAAACACAUUGUUGCAUCUUCUUACUGCAGAGUUGGAGAAGUUUCUCUGUGUGCAGGGAAUACAACAUUUAUGGACAGGAAAGUGGUUUCCUUGAUUUAUGGUUUUCUUGUUGCUGGCCUUUGUUAAAGGGGUUAACACUCUUAGUUCCAGGAAACUGAAACUAGAUGUGAAUGGGGAUGGAGGGAGGAGGCAGGGAGAAUCCCAUAUAAGAUUCAAAUUUGUCUGAUUUCUGGGAAAACUAAAUAAAGCUGGAUUCAAUUGCCAGUGGCUAAAUAACAGCAAUUUAUGAGCUGUUCAUCAAAAGCCUCAGUCAAGCACUGAGUGCUGUGGGAAGCUGGAAAUUGACACUGGGCACCUCCAAAAGACUCCAUUGUUGAAACUUACUUUAAAUGUUUUUUCAAGUGCAGCAUUUAGUCCUGGCGAAUGCAUAAGGUCAGCCCUUAUAAGAGCAAAUAGCUUUCACUAGAGGAUCUAACAAGUGGCCAAAGUCUGCCCAUUUGUCUGCCUGUCUUUUGGCCUUGGAUUACUGUGCUAUUUAAAACUGUGUUUUCAUAACUCAAAUAAAUGGUAGAUGUUUCACAUAGCUCUACAAGUAGUAAUCAUCAUGUUUGUGCCUAAUAUCUGAUAUCUAAGGGAUGGGCCCAAACCAGAGGUAUUUCUCAUUUACCUAGGAAGUGUCUUGCUUUAGCGUAUGUACAGUCAGUUCUUGUGGUGAACAUGUGAGUCCAUUGCUCCUCCAAAGGAGGCAGUGAUUUAGUUUCAGUGGCUGUAGAGUUUCACUGAAGUAGCACUGUUUGUAGUCUUUCAUGUGAUUUAGGAGGCACAAUAGCCAGACAGUUCUAAAAACGCGAUAUAAUUGUUUGCAGAUUUCUAAGAAAAUGCUCCGAAGUCUUCUCCUGUUGCACCAUUGUGAUAAAGAACUGUUGCUUUUCAAGCUCCACAAGUCCAUGCCGUGUAGUGCUGAAAGUGAUAGAAAACCCUUCACAGAAAAGUGAAGGGCAGAGUGGGAUACUGUGGCCUGGGAUACCCUCCCUUUAGCAGCAGGAAAGGUCAGUUAUGCAGCCAAAUGCCUAUAACCAAAGAUGGAUCCACCCUGUGUGUGUUGCCAGCUCUGCAUAGGAGAGUGGGAGGAUUGCUAGGAAGAAUGGAUUCUGGGAAGGGAGAGGCUGAGAGGAAGUGUGGAGU